AACGCACAUUGCGCCCGCCAGUAUUCUGGCGGGCAUGCCUGUCCGAGCGUCAUUUCAACCCAUCAAGCUUAGCGCUUGUGUUGGAGCCCUGCGGCCGCCGCAGCCUCCUAAAAUCAGUGGCGGGCUCGCUAUCACGCUGAGUGCAGUAGUAUUCUCACUCCUGUGGUGUAGCGGGUCACCAGCCGUAAAACCCCCCCAUAUUCAAAGGUUGACCUCGGAUCAGGUAGGAAUACCCGCUGAACUUAA
rnacentral:misc_RNA from 1 species